AAGCGGACAUUCAAGGGGACAGAAUCCUCCCCCAGGUCAAUAGACUGGACAAGGCAGUGGGUGGUCCAGUCCCACACAUUCAGGCGGCGGCCAUAGCGGUCUACAGAGGAAAAGAGAAGAAUCAGCUCAAUUUCUUGUGAAAUUCAGGGUUGACCCCUUCUACGAGAAAUUUGGGGAUCGCCAGUUCAGUGCUGAAUAAGACGUUAUGCCUUGGUUUGUACCAGAAGUCAUAUCCUAAUGGAGCCUCAUCCCCAGGGCGGUUCCAGAUUUCUUUGCAAUCCAUUUCCCUGGCUUGCAAUCUCAGAAGAUGGCUGGGCCUACCUUGAACAGGCAGGGAACUCGGGGGUCAGUCCCAGUGUCCACCACAUAAAUCCGCGAAGAGUUGAAACACGGAAGGACCAGCCGGUUGCGUUUCUUGGUGGUGUCUCCAAAGGUGCUACUGCAAAUGUUCCAGC